rnacentral:rRNA from 1 species
GACGAACGCUGGCGGCGUGCUUAACACAUGCACGUCGAACGGAAAGGCCCUGCUUUUGUGGGGUGCUCGAGUGGCGAACGGGUGAGUAACACGUGAGUAACCUGCCCUUGACUUUGGGAUAACUUCAGGCAACUGGGGCUAAUACCGGAUAGGAGCUCCUGCUGCAUGGUGGGGGUUGGAAAGUUUCGGCGGUUGGGGAUGGACUCGCGGCUUAUCAGCUUGUUGGUGGGGUAGUGGCUUACCAAGGCUUUGACGGGUAGCCGGCCUGAGAGGGUGACCGGCCACAUUGGGACUGAGAUACGGCCCAGACUCCUACGGGAGGCAGCAGUGGGGAAUAUUGCACAAUGGGCGGAAGCCUGAUGCAGCAACGCCGCGUGCGGGAUGACGGCCUUCGGGUUGUAAACCGCUUUCGCCUGUGACGAAGCGUGAGUGACGGUAAUGGGUAAAGAAGCACCGGCUAACUACGUG